rnacentral:piRNA from 1 species
UCCCAUGGUGUCGAGAUGCAAAAAGCAGA